rnacentral:rRNA from 1 species
GAUGAACGCUGGCGGCGUGCCUAAUACAUGCAAGUAGAACGCUGAAGGAGGAGCUUGCUCUUUCCGGAUGAGUUGCGACCGGGUGAGUAACGCGUAGGUAACCUGCCUGGUAGCGGGGGAUAACUAUUGGAAACGAUAGCUAAUCCCGCAUAACAGUAGAUAUUGCUUGAUAUUUGCUGGAAAGUGGCAAUUGCUCCACUACCAGAUGGACCUGCGUUGUAUUAGCUAGUUGGUGAGGUAACGGCGCACCAAGGCGACGAUACAUCGCCGACCUGAGAGGGUGAGCAGCCACACUGGGACGGAGACACGGCCCAGAGGCCUUCGGGAGGCAGCAGUAGGGAAGCUUCGGCAAUGGACGGAAGACUGAGCGAGCAGCGCCGCGUGAGGGAAGAAGGUUGUCGGAUCGGAAAGCUCGGUUGUAAGAGAAGAAAGAGUGUGAGAGUGGAAAGUUCACACUGUGACGGUAACUGACCAGAAAGAGACGGCUAACUACGUG